AUGUCUACUAGUUGUCGGGUCUUAAUUGACUUGGUAACGCAGCUAACGCGUGAAGUAGACCGCCUGGGGAGUACGGUCGCAAGAUUAAAACUCAAAGGAAUUGACGGGGACCCGCACAAGCGGUGGAUGAUGUGGAUUAAUUCGAUGCAACGCGAAAAACCUUACCUACCCUUGACAUGUACAGAAUCCCGAAGAGAUUUGGGAGUGUUCGAAAGAAAACUGUAACACAGGUGCUGCAUGGCUGUCGUCAGCUCGUGUCGUGAGAUGUUGGGUUAAGUCCCGCAACGAGCGCAACCCUUGUCAUUAGUUGCUACGAAAGGGCACUCUAAUGAGACUGCCGGUGACAAACCGGAGGAAGGUGGGGAUGACGUCAAGUCCUCAUGGCCCUUAUGGGUAGGGCUUCACACGUCAUACAAUGGUACAUACAGAGGGCCGCCAACCCGCGAGGGGGAGCUAAUCCCAGAAAGUGUAUCGUAGUCCGGAUUGUAGUCUGCAACUCGACUACAUGAAGUUGGAAUCGCUAGUAAUCGCGGAUCAGCAUGUCGCGGUGAAUACGUUCCCGGGUCUUGCACUCCCCGCCCGUCAAAA
rnacentral:rRNA from 1 species